rnacentral:rRNA from 1 species
UGGGAAUAUUGCGCAAUGGGCGGAAGCCUGACGCAGCAACGCCGCGUGCGGGAUGACGGCCUUCGGGUUGUAAACCGCUUUCAGCAGGGACGAAGCGUGAGUGACGGUACCUGCAGAAGAAGCACCGGCCAACUACGUGCCAGCAGCCGCGGUGAUACGUAGGGUGCGAGCGUUGUCCGGAAUUAUUGGGCGUAAAGAGCUCGUAGGUGGUUGAUCGCGUCGAAAGUGAAAUCUCAGGGCUUAACCCUGAGCGUGCUUUCGAUACGGGUCGACUAGAGGAAGGUAGGGGAGAAUGGAAUUCCUGGUGGAGCGGUGGAAUGCGCAGAUAUCAGGAGGAACACCAGUGGCGAAGGCGGUUCUCUGGACC